GCGUCUCAAGCUGAGUUGAGGAGAAGCUGCUACUGGAGAGAGGUAUUUCCAGAUUUGCAGCAUUUAGAGGUAUUAUUUACAUUCCUAUUUUGGACCCCAUUGUGAGGUUUAUGUACAUUGGCUCUCAAGUUCACUGGUAACUCAUGAAGUACAGAUUCACUUAUUGACCCAAUGAUUUAUGUUUAUGUCUUGUUUC